rnacentral:tRNA from 1 species
GGAAGAGGAUCGACCCCCGGUGGGGCGGCCAGACUUCAAAUCUGGCAGGGGCUGCCAGCAGUCUUUGGUGGGUUCGACUCCCACGCUCUUCCGCCA